GAUGAACGCUGGCGGCGUGCCUAAUACAUGCCAGUCGAGCGAACAGACGAGGAGCUUGCUCCUCUGACGUUAGCGGCGGACGGGUGAGUAACACGUGGAUAACCUACCUAUAAGACUGGGAUAACUUCGGGAAACCGGAGCUAAUACCGGAUAAUAUAUUGAACCGCAUGGUUCAAUAGUGAAAGACGGUUUUGCUGUCACUUAUAGAUGGAUCCGCGCCGCAUUAGCUAGUUGGUAAGGUAACGGCUUACCAAGGCAACGAUGCGUAGCCGACCUGAGAGGGUGAUCGGCCACACGGGAACUGAGACACGGUCCAGACUCCUACGGGAGGCAGCAGUAGGGAAGCUUCCGCAAUGGGCGAAAGCUUGACGGAGCACCGCCGCGUGAGUGAUGAAGGUCUUCGGAUCGUAAAACUCUGUUAUUAGGGAAGAACAAAUGUGUAAGUAACUAUUCACGUCUUGACGGUACCUAAUCAGAAAGCCACGGCUAACUACGUG
rnacentral:rRNA from 1 species